rnacentral:rRNA from 1 species
UACGUAGGGUGCAAGCGUUAAUCGGAAUUACUGGGCGUAAAGCGUGCGCAGGCGGUUUUGUAAGUCUGUCGUGAAAUCCCUGGGCUCAACCUGGGAAUUGCGAUGGAGACUGCAAGGCUAGAAUCUGGCAGAGGGGGGUAGAAUUCCACGUGUAGCAGUGAAAUGCGUAGAGAUGUGGAGGAACACCGAUGGCGAAGGCAGCCCCCUGGGUCAAGAUUGACGCUCAUGCACGAAAGCGUGGGGAGCAAACAGG